rnacentral:rRNA from 1 species
AUAUUGGUCAAUGGCCUAACGGCUGAACCAGCAACUUGGUUGAAUGUAUGGCAAUAGCUGGUUGCAUUAACAAAAAGUUAGUGUAAGAUCGACUCUGUCGAAUAAAAUUCUAGAUAGAAUUAUGAUAAUGACAUUAUCUAUCUAUGUGUCUUGACCAAAUUACGUGCCAGCAGUCGCGGUAAUACGUAAAAGACUAGUGUUAUUCAUCUUUAAUAGGUUUAAAGGGUACUUAGACGGUAAAUAAAGCCCGAACAGGGGACUAAUAUACUAGAGUUUGAUGUAAGGAAGCAUGAAAGUACUGUUGGUGUAGAGAUAAAAUUCUAUCAUACCAAAUAUGGCACAGGUUUAGGCGAAAGCAUCUUCUUAUGUAAUAACUGACGUUGAAGGACGAAGGCUUUGUGUCUCGAACAGGAUUAGAUACCCCAGUAGUCUAAGCAGAUAAUGAUGAAUGUCAUAGAUUAGAUUUAAUUUAAUUUAUUCUAUAAAUGAAAGUGUAAGCAUUCCACCUCAAGAGUAAUUUGGCAACAUUGGAACUGAAAUCAUUAGACCGUUUCUGAAACCAGUAGUGAAGUAUGUUAUUUAAUUCGAUAAUCCGC